CUGACGGACAGAUGCGACGACCCUCGCUCCGCGAAACCGGGCACCUGGCGCGAGGAAAGCAAGUGGUGCGACCGACUAUUCGUUCG
rfam:Deinococcus peraridilitoris DSM 19664, complete genome.